rnacentral:rRNA from 1 species
UACGGAGGGUGCGAGCGUUGUCCGGAUUUAUUGGGUUUAAAGGGUGCGUAGGCGGCUUUUUAAGUCUGGGGUGAAAGCCCGCUGCUCAACAGCGGAACUGCCCUGGAUACUGGAGAGCUUGAGUACAGACGAGGUUGGCGGAAUGGACUGAGUAGCGGUGAAAUGCAUAGAUACAGUCCAGAACCCCGAUUGCGAAGGCAGCUGACUAGGCUGCUACUGACGCUGAGGCACGAAAGCGUGGGGAGCGAACAGG